AGAGAGCUUGCUCUCGGGUGACGAGCGGCGGACGGGUGAGUAAUGUCUGGGAAACUGCCUGAUGGAGGGGGAUAACUACUGGAAACGGUAGCUAAUACCGCAUAAUGUCGCAAGACCAAAGAGGGGGACCUUAGGGCCUCUUGCCAUCGGAUGUGCCCAGAUGGGAUUAGCUAGUAGGUGAGGUAAAGGCUCACCUAGGCGACGAUCCCUAGCUGGUCUGAGAGGAUGACCAGCCACACUGGAACUGAGACACGGUCCAGACUCCUACGGGAGGCAGCAGUGGGGAAUAUUGCACAAUGGGCGCAAGCCUGAUGCAGCCAUGCCGCGUGUGUGAAGAAGGCCUUCGGGUUGUAAAGCACUUUCAGCGGGGAGGAAGGCGUGAGAGCGAAUACCUUUCAUGAUUGACGUUACCCGCAGAAGAAGCACCGGCUAACUCCGUGCCNAGCAGCCGCGGUAAUACGGAGGGUGCNAAGCGUUAAUCGGAAUGACUGGGCGUAAAGCGCACGCAGGCGGUUUGUUAAGUUGGAUGUGAAAUCCCCGGGCUUAACCUGGGAACUGCAUUCAAAACUGACAGGCUAGAGUCUUGUAGAGGGGGGUAGAAUUCCAGGUGUAGCGGUGAAAUGCGUAGAGAUCUGGAGGAAUACCGGUGGCGAAGGCGGCCCCCUGGACAAAGACUGACGCUCAGGUGCGAAAGCGUGGGGAGCAAACAGGAUUAGAUACCCUGGUAGUCCACGCUGUAAACGAUGUCGACUUGGAGGUUGUGCCCUAGAGGCGUGGCUUCCGGAGCUAACGCGUUAAGUCGACCGCCUGGGGAGUACGGCCGCAAGGUUAAAACUCAAAUGAAUUGACGGGGGCCCGCACAAGCGGUGGAGCAUGUGGUUUANUUCGAUGCAACGCGAAGAACCUUACCUACUCUUGACAUCCACAGAANUNNGUUAGAGAUACAUUAGUGCCUUCGGAAACUGUGAGACAGGUGCUGCAUGGCUGUCGUCAGCUCGUGUUGUGAAAUGUUGGGUUAAGUCCCGCAACGAGCGCAACCCUUAUCCUUUGUUGCCAGCGAUUAGGUCGGGAACUCAAAGGAGACUGCCGGUGAUAAACCGGAGGAAGGUGGGGAUGACGUCAAGUCAUCAUGGCCCUUACGAGUAGGGCUACACACGUGCUACAAUGGCGUAUACAAAGAGAAGCGAGCCUGCGAGGGUGAGCGGACCUCAUAAAGUACGUCGUAGUCCGGAUUGGAGUCUGCAACUCGACUCCAUGAAGUCGGAAUCGCUAGUAAUCGUAGAUCAGAAUGCUACGGUGAAUACGUUCCCGGGCCUUGUACACACCGCCCGUCACACCAUGGGAGUGGGUUGCAAA
rnacentral:rRNA from 1 species